UUGGGGUCCUCAGACAUUUUUGGGGUCUACAGAGCAGAGCUGAUGGCUUUCAGGACUGAAAACCCAAACUGUACAGCCCUGGGGUCUACACAUCAGAACAGAUGGGGGACUACUGACAUUUUUGGGGCCUACAGACCAGCACCAAUGACUUUCAUGGCUUCAAACCCAUGCUGAGCAUUUCUGGGGUCUACAAAACAGAAAUGUUGGACAUCACAGACAUUUCUGAGGUCUACAGACCAGCACCAAUGACUUCCAGGGCUUCAAACCCACGCUCUCCAUUUCUGGGGUCUACAGAGCAGAAAUGUUGGGGUCUACAGACAGAACUGGUGGGGGACUACUGACAUUUCUGGGGUCUACCAACCAGCACCAAUGGCUUUCAGGGCUGAAAACCCAUGCUGUGCAUUUCUGGGGUCUACAGAGCAGAAAUGUAGGGGUCCUCAGACAUUUUUGGGGUCUACAGUGCAGCACCAAUGGCUUUUGAGGCUUCAAACCCAUGCUGCACAUCCUCAGGCACAUUUUUGGGGUCUACAGCCCAGCACCAGUGAAUUCCAGGGCUUCAAACCCAUGCUGUGCAUUUCUGGGGUCUACAGAGCAGAAAUGUUGGGGUCCUCAGACAUUUUUGGGGUCUACAGACCAGCACCAAUGACUUUUAGGGCUUCAAACCCAUGCUGUGCAUUUCUGGGGUCUACAGAGCAGAGCCAAUGGCUUUCAGGGCUGAAAACCCAAACUGUACAGUCUUGGGGUCUACAGAUCAGAACAGAUGGGGGUCUACUGACAUUUCUGGGAUCUACUGACCAGCACUGAUGACUUUCAUGGCUUCAAAACCCAUGCUGUGCAUUUCUGGGGUCUACAGAGCAGAAAUGUAGGGGUCCACAUACAUUUUUGGGGUCUACAGUGCAGCACCAAUGGCUUUUGAGGCUUCAAACCCAUGCUGUACAUCCUCAGGCACAUUUCUGGGGUCUACAGACCAGAGCUGAUGGCUUUCAGGGCUGAAAACCCAAACUGUACAGUCCUGGGGUCUACACAUCAGAACAGACGGGGGACUACUGACAUUUUUGGGGCCUACAGACCAGCACCGAUGGCUUUCAGGGCUUCAAACCCAUGCUGUGCAUUUCUGGUGUCUACAAAGCAGAAAUGUUGGGGUCCUCAGACAUUUUUGGGGUCUACAGACCAGCACC
rnacentral:lncRNA from 1 species